AGUCUCAGAUUCUUCGCAGAACUAAUAAAUCUACGCCUUUUACUAAAGAUUUUCUUGCGAAGGAUUAUAAAUGAGUUAUUUUAUCUAUUGAAAAAUUUUUUAACCCUUUUUUAAAAGAAAAACU